UAACACACAAAUAUCCUUAAUUUUGAGCUUAAAAGGUUCGUCUGACACUUCUUUUUUGCAUAUAACAAUCGUUAUCCUUUUACCUAUUGGAGAGCAAGAAAUUCGUUAUCCUUUUGCCCACAAUUCCAAGAUAAACCAAGAAAUUGUGUCUGAAAAAGUGUUAUUGCAAGGUAAUUUCUCUACUUUAUCAUUAUCCCGUCGAGGUUGGCAACAAGUAGUUUCUGUUAAUCCUCUAAAAUCUUACAAGAUGCACCUUUAGAUUUUUCUUAAUUGAAAAACUACGUUACAAUAAGGAUGUUUUAUUCAUUUAUGUUGCAAUUGUUAUUUGAAGUUCCUUGAUUAAUUUCACUGCUCUAUAAACCUUCUGUAAAGUGCACGUCGGCUUUGUAGAUGGAUGUUUCAACAGUUGAAAGAUACAAAAAUGAAUGUUCAAAAUGAUUUUGGGUCAGAUCGUUGAUGGCUAGAGGUGGCAAAAUGGUUCAAGAAAAACAGUUAACCACCCAUAUUAUCCAUUAAAAAUGGGUUGAAUAAUAAAUUUUUUAAAAAGGGGUCAAAUAUGGAUAAAAAUUAUAUUAUUCAUUUAGAAAAUAGAUAACCAAUGGGUCUAACUUUGACAUUUGUAAAUCCUCAAAGUUCCUCAAAUUAGGAAGAUUAAGAAUUCUCCCAAGAGUCAUCAUAUACAAGAAGUCAUGAUCCGUUGGUUAACCCUUUUUUAUUCGUAUUAAAUAUAGAUCGGAUCAAAUAAUUGAUUCGCUUUUUAUUACCCAUUUUUACCCUAAUCAUAUCCGACCUGAUCCACCCGUUUUUCACUCCUAAUGAUGGCCAUCCAUAGGACAUUUAUUUUAGUAACUCCCAAGACAGACAGUUA
rnacentral:lncRNA from 1 species